rnacentral:lncRNA from 10 species
AAGUGGUGAAGGCGCCUCCAGGCGGUGCCCGCUGGUCUCUAGAGUGUCAGUGGCGCUGUCUUCCUGCGUUACCGGAGCGCACAAAAUACUCGGUCCCCAGGCCGAGAACGCACCUCUACCUGGGUCCUGGGUCCCAUUUCACAGACUGAGAUGCGUGAAGCGCCUCCUUUAGAAGAGCUGACAAUUCUUAGCAAACCAAGUUUUGCGUGAUUUUGGGGAGGCGGCGCUGCCCCAGGAACGCCUGGAGGUAUUUGUGGUUUUCUGCCGCUUACCUGGUUGAACUCUGGUCCCAACGGGCCCCCUGCACAUUUUCUCCUACAAUGCAUCAACGCGCAAAUUGCCCCACUGUCUUUCUUAAAGGCCUCCCCUUUAAGUCAGUUUGCAGACAUAAAAAUAAGCAACAUUAAUUAAGCAUUUGCCGUGUACUUGUCUUCAUAUAUUAUCUCAUUUAAUCCCCUGUGUCAAGCCGAUAAGGUCAUCCCCGUUUUUAUUUAUUUAAUGAUUUAACACAGUCCCUAAACGUUUUCAGUGCUUUACCUCAUUUAAUACUCC